CCUACGGGAGGCAGCAGUGGGGAAUAUUGCACAAUGGGGGAAACCCUGAUGCAGCGACGCCGCGUGAAUGAAGAAGUCCCUCCUGAUUGUAAGCUCCUUCAGUAGGGAAGAAAAUGACGGUACCUGACCAAGAAGCUCAGGAUAACUAUGUGCCAGCAGCCGCGGUAACACGUAGGGGGCAAGCGUUAUCCGGAGUUACCGGGCUUAAAGGGGGCGUAGACGGUUUCGUAAGUGUGUAGGGAAAGGGGGGGGCUCAACCCGAAGACUGCUAUUGAUACUGUGUAACUGGAGUACAGGUGAGGUAAGCGGAAUUCGUGGUGUAGCGGUGAAAUGCGUAGAUAUUAGGAGGAACACCGGUGGCGAAGGCAGCUUACUAGACUGUAACUGACGUUGAGGCUCGAAAGCGUGGGGAGCAAACAGGAUUAGAUACCCCGGUAGUC
rnacentral:rRNA from 1 species